GCAAAGUAGGAUGAUCGUUGGGGUGUUAAUUAUGCAAUAAGACUUACAAUUGCAAAAUCCGUUACUGCCUCAAACAAUAUAAUAGUUAAUUAAGAUCGUUUAUCGAAAUUCUGCUUGAAGAUGCGUCUUCGGGAUAGUGAUACAGAUAGGGCUCCGGUGGUGGUGGCGGAUCUGGUGCAUCCUCAUCAAAGUGGACUUUGCCGUGAAUGCCGGCGGUUCCAUCAAGCUAAUGGCAGAGUUGCUGAUUCGCUGAAAUAAUUUAGGCCACUAUAAAAGACAUCUUUUUUUAUAAACUAAAAGAAUAACAGGAAAUAAUAGUAUUAGGAAACAACUUGUUUUUUAUUUCUAAUUUUCUCGUCAAAUGCAAAAUUCUUUUUUAUGAUUUUUAUAAUUAUUAAAAAGUUAAUUGUAAAA